rnacentral:lncRNA from 1 species
GGAGUACACUGAUGGCAUGGAAGUAAUAAUCUUGACUGACAGCUUUCCAAAUCCUUAAAAGUCUUUCUAACACAGUUCAGAUCACAUUACGCAAUUGUACUUAUGGGCAGUUAAAGACAUGCUGAUGAAUUUAUCUGAAAGAAAUAAUCACAUUCAAAAGAAGCGGGACAGCCCAGCUCAAGAUGGCUGCCCCAUCAAAUAAUAAAAAAGCUAGCUUAGAAGUUCUCCUUGUGGUGCAGCAGGUUAAGGAUCUGGUGUUGUCACUGCUACGGCUCAGGUCACUGCUGUGGCACAGGUUCGAACUCUGGCCCCGGGAACUUCAGCACGCCAUGGGCAUGAUCAAAAAAGAAAAAAAGGGAGUUCCCGUCGUGGCUCCAGGGUUAACAUACCCGACUAGCAUCCAUGAGGAUUCGGGUUCAAUCCCUGGCUUGCUCAGUGGGUCAAGGAUUCGGUGUUGCCGGGAGCUGUGAUGUAUGUGGCAGACACGGCUCGGAUCCUGUGUUGCUGUGGCUCUGCUGUAGACUGGCGGCUACAGCUCUGAUUCAACCCCUAGCCUGGGAACCUCUAUAUGCUGCAGGUGCAGCCCUAAAAAGACAGAAAAAAAAAAAAUUAAGAAAGAAAAGAAAAAGGAAAAAGGGGGACAAAAGAUAUCCUAAAAAGAAUUGGUUUAAAACAACUCUAACAACAAGAGAGGUGUUAUUAACAAAGAAAUCUCAACUAAUUUUGGAUGCCAAAAGCAGAGCACAGGAAAAAAGCCCAGGUAAAAAUGUCCUCGACCUUGACAGUGAUGGCAGGGAUGACAGAAAUUUGAAGGAGUGGAGGGAGAGGAAAGUGCAACUAUGCUAACAACUGCCUGGCACCAGUAGAAUACCAGUGCUCACCGGCCAGACUUUCUAUACACUAAUCAAUGUAACUACUAAAAUAACUAAACACAAGGACAGAAAGUCAGGAGGGGGAAGGGGGAAGGAGGUGGAGUAAAAGCAUUAAAUUCCUCAACUUUCUUAUCAAGGAGUUGACAGAUACUAUCUAAUGUUGAGAAAUCAAGAAGUGAUUUGGAGUUGUUCAGAUAACCACCAAAAGCAGUCAAACUAGGCACGAUUACAAGUGUUUGCCUCUGAGGCAUCGACUGGCCAAAGGAGGAACAAAGGACAGGAGGAUUUACUUUUCAUUUUAUACCUUCUGGCCUGUUUGAUUUUGCUAAACAAGGGUAUUGAGCAUUUUUAUAAUGAAAAAAUUAGAAGAUAAAUACCUGAACAGAGAAAUAUUCUGAGUUUAUAAGAAAACAAGAAUGAGUUAUUUGACAGAUUAGGUGGGGGAAGGGAAAGCAACACACAGAACAAUACCUGAAAUACGACCCUGUUGUGUUUCUUAAAAUAUUUUUGUUGAUAGUAUAUGUUUGUAAGUGCAGAGAAAAGCCUUUAACAAUGGUUUCCAUUGGAGGAAUGGAGAGGGAUUGAUGAGAAGAGAUGAAAAGAGAAUCAUUUUUUCCUCUUAAUGUACUUCUGAAUUAUUUGAAAUGGUUACCAGGAGCCUAACUCUUGCAAGCUUAAUUUAUUAAAAUGAAUAAAUUAAUCAAGAAAAUAGCAGAAAUACUUUAAUGUCUUAAUAUAGGUCUACACACAUAUGUAUCCAUUUGUCCACUUAACAAAUAUAUAAUGAAUUCUUUCUGUGGGCUAUGCCUUGUACUAAUCACUGGUGAAAAGGCAAUAAAUAAGACAAUCACUUGCCUUGAAGGAAUUCGUAGUCAAAUGGCUCAAAGGACAACAAACACAUAAUUAUGAUACAGGGUGAUACGUGCUUUGAUUGAUGUAGGCAGAAUGCUGUGUAUGAAAGAGUUAAUCCACCCUAAGGGUAGAUGGAGUUGGGGGGCUGUGUUAGGCAUCCUGAAAAUGGAGGACAGCAUUACAGUGUCAAGGCACAGGUGGAGUGUGCACUUCUGUGGGUAUUUUAUGCACAAGUAUUUGUAUGAAGUAAAAGCAAGUCAGUCCUGCCAAGAGCAGAGUGAUAACCACAUAGCGCCAUGGCUGACAUUAGAGCGUCAACACUUGGCUCUGUUUCAGGAGCUCCAAAUGACCCCAAAAUCCAUGUAUUCAAUGAGGCUCUGGAGGGUCCGAGGGAGGAAAGAUGAAUUCUCAGGUUUCCAAGUGAUCCAAACUCCCUGAGAAAUUGGGGUGGGGGUGGGGGUGGUGGUGCCCAAUGAGGUAUGACCAGCACAGCCUAAAAGACAAAUAUUUGCAUAAUGGCUGAGCGUCUUCCCUUUGAAGAUCCUAAAGCACUUUUGCAAAUCAAGACUCUCCUUUUACAGAUGACAAGCCUGAGGCUAAGAAAGCCAUUUCCCCAAGUCACACGGACAGGCACUUGGAGAAACCAAACAGACCACACCAUUUCUGGCUGCCCUCUUUGUUCUCGUGUUCCGAUCGGGCCCCUCCCUCCGACACUGUAGAUGGUGGAGAGGAAAGUCAAAGUGAUUCGACUGGGGUCAGGGUGGGGGUGUUACAGAAUUUGGUGUUAACAAGCACUGUUUCCUGAGCCCUGUUUGCAUGCACACCUAGUGUUCCGGAGACACCGCAUGUGGUUUCCAAGGCAGGCAGGCCUUGGCAAAGCCCCCAGCAUUUCAAGUCUGCACGCGUCUCCAAGGUGCCACGAUGUGCAACGCCUUCCUGGCAGGUUAGCUAUGCCCUGCAGUACUUUCGGUUGGUUUUUAUGGUCUUUAAAGCCACCAAGAAAGUCAGCGGGCCUGGAAUUCAAACUUCGGAACUCUUCGACUCUGUUGCUGAGAUUUCAGUGUUCAAACCUGUUUCUUUUUGCAACAGGAGUCUCAGCGUUUAAGACAAGAUAAAUGUGAUAAGACAAUGGCAGAGGAAAUUGUGGGUUUAUGUCUCCAGGUGGGCUAAUUUCCAAAUUACACUAGAGAAAAUGGCUCUGGAUAAUUUCGCAGGUUUCCUCCAUGGUUGCACCUGCAAAAUUUAAUUACACGGUUAUUUAUUUAUUUAUUUAUUUUUCCACAGCAAAGAUAUCACUGUAAUUGGGAGUUGCUUGACUUAGCCAGACUUGUUUCUUGUAAGGCCCAGGAGAAACAGUUUUAUCCUGGGAAUGAAUAAGUGAUGACGUGAGGCUAUCUGACAUAAUUACUCUGCAGAUUUCAGGUUGCUUCAUUUUAUCGGCAAUGAAAUCACGGGAAGAAUACUUGGGUGAAGACUUUUGAUCUUCACCACGACUGACUCAUGGUUGUCUUCACUGAUUCUGAGAUGAGGACAUUCAUGAAAGCGCCCGAGACCAUUAAAGUUCCAUCUAAAUGGAGGGAUUGAAGUUGGGGGGUGAUUAAUUUAAUAUUGGUAGUUACUAUGAAUAUCUUACAUGGGCAAAUUCAAAUCAUUCUCAUAAAUAUUUAUUGAGUACUUUCUGGGUUCAAGGCUAGAAGGGCAUACUGUGAAACAUAAAAUUAAAAGAAAAACAAAGAAGGCCUGCCUUCAGAGCACCUGUGCUCUUGAGAAUUAGGAAUGUUUUCCUGAAGAGACUACGUACAGUAAAAUAUGUGUUAACUCGGACCCGUUUCAAAUAUGAGUUCAUCUUUCUUAAAUGACUGCUGGCAUUUCAGGUCACUGCACUUGCCCGAAGGCCAGUGAUACAGAAGCUCGUGGCAGUGUGGCACCAGGAUUAAUUUUUUGAACCCAUAUCUGAUGUCAGCUUGUUAUUUGUCAGCUUUUAUAAAAAAAGUAGAGAGGGAGUUCCCAGGCUAGGGAUCCAGUCCGAGUUGUAGCUGCCAGCCUACACCACAGCCACAGCAACUCGGGAUCUGAGUCGUGUCUACGACUUACACCACACCUCAUGGCAAUGCGGGAUCCUUAACCCACUGAGCGUGGCCAGGGAUCAAACCCACAACCUCAUGGAUACCAGUCAUAUUCAUUUCCCCUGAGCCCCGAGGGGAACUCCCUUUGCAUGAUUCUAAACAUACUGAAUUUACCUAAAAUGCAACUAGCAUGUACAUGGAAAGAAAACUGUGCUUUGCAGUAUGCAAAACUUCCCAAGAGCCCUUCACCAUUUGGUAGAUGCCGAUCUCAGCAUCACCGUUCUGGAAACACACAUAUCAGACGGAAUCUGUACCACUCACUUCCUGGUGAUCCCAUAGAGAGCCAGCUUGUAUGUAACCAGCUUCAAAAUAAAUUACUUUCCCGUUACUAAAGGAGAAGUCCUUUAACAUUAUAAGUAAGGCGAUGUAACAAAUUUUUUUUAAUUGUGGUAAAACACAAAUAAUAUUUACCGUCUUAACUAUGUUUAAGUAUACAGUUCAGUGGUAUUAAAUACACUCACAUUGUUAUGCAACCAUCCAUCCAGAGAACUCUUUGGAAACUCCUUUCAUUUGCAGAACUGAAAUGCUAUACCCAUUAAACAACUUUCCUUUUCUCUCCCCGCUGGCAACCACCAUUCUACCUUCUGUCUCUGACUUUGACGACUCUAGUGCUCACAAUUUAAUGAUUUUUGAGAGUCUGUGUGUAGAUAGGUUGUAGUAUCUAUGACUUUUGUGGCAGAAAAGCAAGGAGGAGUUACAAGGUUAUCUGUUAUGAAAAGGAGGCAUUGAGGGUGCUAGGUAGGGGCUCUCAGUAUCUAUGAAUCAGCUCACAGAACCUUUGCAAGAUCUGUAUCUUAGAAAAUCAACCUUUAGGAGUUGCCGUCGUGGCUCAGUGGUUAACGAAUCCGAAUAGGAACCAUGAAGUUGCAGGUUCAAUCCCUGGCCUCUCUCAGUGGGUUAAGGAUCUGGUGUUGCCCUGAGCUGUGGUGUAGGUUGCAGACCUGGCUCGGAUCCUACGUUACUGUGGCUCUGGUGUAGACUGGCAGGUACAGCUCCAAUUAGAACCCUAGCCUGGGAACCUCCAUAGGCCACAGGUGUGGCCCUAGAAAAGGCGAAAAGACCAAGAAAGGAAGGAAGGAAGGAAGGAAGGAAGGAAGGAAGGAAGGAAGGAAGGAAGGAUAGAAAGAAAGAAAGAAAGAAA